GCAUAUCAAUAAGCGGAGGAAAAGAAACUAACAAGGAUUCCCCUAGUAACGGCGAGCGAAGCGGGAAGAGCUCAAAUUUGAAAGCUGGCACCUCCGGUGUCCGCGUUGUAAUCUCGAGACGUGUUUUCCGUGCGGCUCUAUGGACAAGUCCCUUGGAAUAGGGCAUCGUAGAGGGUGAGAAUCCCGUACUUGCCAUGGAAGAACCGUGCUUUGCGAUACACGCUCUAAGAGUCGAGUUGUUUGGGAUUGCAGCUCAAAAUGGGUGGUAGACUCCAUCUAAAGCUAAAUAUCGGGGAGAGACCGAUAGCGAACAAGUACCGUGAGGGAAAGAUGAAAAGCACUUUGGAAAGAGAGUUAAAAGUACGUGAAAUUGUCGAAAGGGAAGCACUUGAAGUCAGCCAUGCUGCUUGAGACUCAGCCUGGCCUUUGGGCUUGGUGUAUUUCUCGGUGGCAAGCCAGCAUUGGUUUGGGUCGUCGGAGAAGCGCAUAGGGAAUGUAGCGUCUCCGGACGUGUUAUAGCCUUAUGCAGGAUACGACGACCUGGAUCAAGGAACGCAGUGUGCCCUCUGGGCGGGUCUUCGGACACCUUCACACUUAGGAUGCUGGCGUAAUGGCUUUAAGUGGCCCGUCUUGAAACACGGACC
rnacentral:rRNA from 1 species